GGACAACACGGCUAACUUCAUAAUCCUCCCCGCUUAGUAUCCGUGUGUUAUGUCCGUCAAGUUCAGCAUCUCACAGAAGCCGCAGCAGUCAAGCGCACCGCAGGUGAGCAACAGGUUGCGCUCCACAAGUGGCGCCAAGGUAUUGACGCUAGAAGUGGAAGCGCCCCCCUCCAAAGUCCUGUUAAACCGUCCAGAAACCGAGGGGUCCUCAACCCUCAUGUACGUCCCCCUCUGGGGCAGACUGUGAAGCAGCCCCAGGCUGAGGUUGAGCUGGUACAGGUAGUCGCCGGUGACGACGUACACCCAGCGUGCGGCGACGGUGAAGUCACGGAUAUCUCCACCACGGGAGGGGAACCCGUCAACCUCCUGCAGACCGCGGCCCCCCCGGAGCCCACCGAGGGCGACGAAGAGCAGCAGCCACGCGAACACCAUGGUGCGGAACAGCAGAGUCCUGAGAGAGCGACCUACUGCCUGCUCAUCACGCGAGGAGACGCUAGAGUUCUGCCACCGUGCGUAAAGGCGCACGAAAACUCGUAAGAGGAAAGUUCCGGUUUACGCAAAAAGGGAAGUGGGCAAAACAUGGCAGUUUGGUGACUGCUUUUGAGCGUUUUCACAUUGAAUGGUGCUUACCGGAGAGGGAAGCAAA